rnacentral:rRNA from 1 species
UACGUAGGGUGCGAGCGUUAAUCGGAAUUACUGGGCGUAAAGCGUGCGCAGGCGGUUUUGUAAGUCCGAUGUGAAAUCCCCGGGCUUAACCUGGGAACUGCGUUUGAAACUACAAGGCUAGAGUGUGGCAGAGGGGGGUGGAAUUCCACGUGUAGCAGUGAAAUGCGUAGAGAUGUGGAGGAACACCGAUGGCGAAGGCAGCCCCCUGGGGUAACACUGACGCUCAUGCACGAAAGCGUGGGGAGCAAACAGG